GAUCAUUGGUCCUUCAGCCCAGGACUGGACACCAGUGUUAGUGUCUGUCUCAGAAGCUAAAGAAAUGAGGCCAAACCUUAGAGGAAAUAAACGACUCCUAAGUGUACGGAAAUACCUGGCUGAGAAGAUCAGUGACAUAAACCAGAUAAAACUGUCAGUGGUCUGAGACAGCUACAAUGAAGCCACAAACACAGUUCAUAGUUCCUGUAUUUCUAUAAUGCAUUAAUGAAUAACAAUAAUUAAAAUAAAAUGUAAUGUCAA